GGAGAGGGCUCUGAUGGAAAAUGGCUCUCGUUGAACAGAACAGGCACAACUUAAUCUCCAGUCUCUGCUUCUUUGUUGAGAGUGGCCAACUUUCCUGUCCCUGCAGAUCAUAAUUUCUGAUUGAGGAGCAGAGGAACUGGAACUUGAGGAGUCUCAGAGUGUUGCAGCGCCCUGCUACUUUUGGAGGAAUGAAAAUUAUUUCAGGACGUUGCAUACUUGGACACAAUACCUGUUACAGAAACAACUGUGGUCUAAGGUUAUGUGAAAGACUACUGCAGGCAUUAUGCCAGAUGGCAUUGGACAAGUGUCAUGAAGGAAUCCUGCUCCAAGGCUGUUCUUGGUGUUUUGGAUUAAGCUCUUACUGAAAAGGGGCUGAAAACAAGACUGCUGGGAGAGCAAAGAACGGACCUUUGAUUUUUUUUUUUUUUUUUUUUUUUUUUUUGCCUGCUUAAUUCUAACUCAUUUGUCUCUUCUGGAUCCUGAAUUCUGAGAAGAUAACUGCAGAUAAAAGCUCUUCAGGACAUGUGAAUUGUGCUUGCAGUGUCAGUGAACAUUAGCAGAACAUCUGCUGCAGACUGGACUUGAAGUCAAGGACCAUAUAGCUGGCUGUCAACAGGCUGCGAUUGUACACAGGGGAAAACAGCAAGGACUAGACUGAGUGGAUUCAGAAGAGUACUAUCUGACAUUAGAUGAAGGCAGAAUCAUGGGAAGGUCUGUUUCUAUCUCAUGCAGCCUAGUAGACAAGUGGAAGAGAUGGGCAUCAACUCUGCAUUCAGACUGCCUGAAAAUUCAAAUGAGUUUGGAUAAAACUUUGAAAUGGGUUGUUCCAUUCUUGCUACAGCUUCACCAGCUGCUGCUGCUUCUGGACUGCUGGUGUUUCCUCCUCCUUUGUAAGUGGGAGACACAGAGAGAAAGCAAACCAAAUCCCUAUGAAGGAGCCUUUGUGCAUGAAGAUUUUGCCCUUCACUGGCAAUGCAACAAGAGGGUAAACUUCUGCUGGAAUGUAUCUGCCAGAACUGAGCUUCUAAGAAAGUUAUUGCCGAAUCAAUACCCCUGUGCCUACAGAUACCCAAGAAGUGAAACUUAAAUAUAUAGUGAAGUCCACACACUUUGUAUCUUAAAGGACCUAACAGGAUGCUUGCAGUAUACUUCAUAUGAUGCAUUGCAUUAACUGCAAAAUGAAUAUGUCUUCAUUGUACAGUUAUUCCAUAACAUUUGCAGGCUCUUGUCAGGUUGAGAUACUGAGAAAUAUGCAUGUCAAGACCAGAACCUUUUCGCUAAGCUAAACUAAGCAGAACUCAACAGAACCUUUUUGCACUGUAUUGUAGUACAAAUUCACAGUAAGGACAAUGGGAAUGCUUUGGACGUUUGGAAUAAUGCCUUCUCCCAUAGUGAAUCAGAAAAAAAAAUAAAAAUUUUCUAACACAAAAUAUAAGCUGUACACUGAAAACACUGCAUGUAAAUACAGCUUACAAUUCAUUUCAUAGAACAAUGUUGCCAGAUCUCAAUUUAAAAUAAAACUUCACUAAGUUUGAAAGGAGAUAGUGCAACUUAACCAUAGAUAUCCAAAACUAAACUGCUAAGAUCCAAUUGAUAGCCCAUCUAGUUCAUAUUGCCAUGGAAUAUGGUUAUGGAAAAAAAAUAGCUUUGAAAACAUAUUUAAUUGACUUUUAGUUGGGACAGAAUGAAGAAUGCAUGUCAAAAGGAAUACAAAUAAAUCAUUAAAAAAAUGCUUAAUUUAAGCUUUUACUAUGAUUUCUGGUACUCAAAUCCAAAUACCUGGAAUGCUGAACCUUAUUUCAACUCUGUUACAAAGUCAGAACUUUGCUGAGCAGCUGAAGGAUGGUCUUGAGUACAACACUAUGUGGCUGAAAAGUCUUCAACAGGACAGAGCAGGAAAUGUAUAUUUUCAGUAGUGCAGAGGUGACAAAUUUAACAGAUUUUUCUGCUACGUAAGAUUCUCUAAGGACUUUCAAAGUAGUGCAAAGUAAUUUUUCAGGCUGUAUGCAUAUGCUUAGUGUAAAGACAAAACUGGCUGCAGAGCCCACUUAAACUUUUGGUGAAACAACUGCUCUGCACAGAAAAACACGGCCUAAGAAAUGUGAAUAGAAAGCCAAAUAACAAUACAGCAUAUAGAAUUUGUCCUUAGUGACAGUAUAUUAGGCAGAAUUGUGAUGGAUUCCAUGUAAAUGUGGUGUGAGAGAAUACUAGGAAUCAGUAAUUGUAUUUGCAUGAACUUGUUCAUAUUUCUUCACAUUUAACACUAGACAUUCAUGAUUUAAGAAUAAAACAGUAGCUCUUUCCUUCUAUGGUCAGACUGUGGUGGUUAGCAUGGUUAAUCAUCUCAACCACAAAGGUUCCAUUAAAUCUUCCAUCCACAGGAAAGGCAUACUGAAAUGGCUGAUAUUCAGAAGAAAGACUUACAUAUACACUUAUAACAGUCUUUUACAUGGAUACACACACGCACACCUUAUAUAAAGUAGUAGAUACUGUAUUUAUACACAAACACAACACAUCCAUUCUUCUGGAUUUUGACAUCCAGAAAGUUCCAGCAUAAAAUUAUCCUCUUUAUGUCAGAAAAAAAACUUCAGUUUUAUAUCAAGAUUUCCUGACCUCUGCAAAAAGGGGUGAUGAGACUUUUUAAUGGGGAAGCUUUGGCACCAGUCAGCACAAAAUUUCCAAUUGCUGGACACCGUUCCUUCACUUACCACAUCAGAUAAUUAAUCCUAGAAAAACAGAGCGUGGUGUCACACACAGAAGC
ensembl:lncRNA